rnacentral:rRNA from 1 species
UGGAUCCAGACUUUGAUUCUGGCUCAGGACGAACGCUGGCGGCGCGCCUAACACAUGCAAGUCGAACGAGAGAUGAGGAGCUUGCUCUUCAAAUCGAGUGGCGAACGGGUGAGUAACGCGUGAGGAACCUGCCUCAAAGAGGGGGACAACAGUUGGAAACGACUGCUAAUACCGCAUAAGCCCACGGCUCGGCAUCGAGCAGAGGGAAAAGGAGCAAUCCGCUUUGAGAUGGCCUCGCGUCCGAUUAGCUGGUUGGUGAGGUAACGGCCCACCAAGGCGACGAUCGGUAGCCGGACUGAGAGGUUGAACGGCCACAUUGGGACUGAGACACGGCCCAGACUCCUACGGGAGGCAGCAGUGGGGAAUAUUGCACAAUGGGGGAAACCCUGAUGCAGCGACGCCGCGUGGAGGAAGAAGGUCUUCGGAUUGUAAACUCCUGUUGUUGAGGAAGAUAAUGACGGUACUCAACAAGGAAGUGACGGCUAACUACGUGCCAGCAGCCGCGGUAAAACGUAGGUCACAAGCGUUGUCCGGAAUUACUGGGUGUAAAGGGAGCGCAGGCGGGAGAACAAGUUGGAAGUGAAAUCCAUGGGCUCAACCCAUGAACUGCUUUCAAAACUGUUUUUCUUGAGUAGUGCAGAGGUAGGCGGAAUUCCCGGUGUAGCGGUGGAAUGCGUAGAUAUCGGGAGGAACACCAGUGGCGAAGGCGGCCUACUGGGCACCAACUGACGCUGAGGCUCGAAAGUGUGGGUAGCAAACAGGAUUAGAUACCCUGGUAGUCCACACCGUAAACGAUGAUUACUAGGUGUUGGAGGAUUGACCCCUUCAGUGCCGCAGUUAACACAAUAAGUAAUCCACCUGGGGAGUACGACCGCAAGGUUGCAACUCAAAGGAAUUGACGGA